rnacentral:lncRNA from 1 species
UAAAACGUAUGCACGUAUGCUAGUGCUCGGUUUGGAGGGGAAGGAUCGAAAAUCAAUGCGAGGCUCUAGGGUAAAAUUCCCCACCCCAAAUGCAAAGCGCGAUACAUAUAAGUAAAUAAAUAAGCCAUUCAUCACAUACACGCAAGACGAGGAACGAUUACGAGUGUGAAAUGCAAAACAUCCUAAAAAAAAGAAAAAUGCAACCUAAAACAUCC